AGAGGGGUGCGAGCGUUAAUCGGAAUUACUGGGCGUAAAGGGCGAGUAGGGUGGUUAUGUAAGUUGGGGUGUGAAAUGUCUGGGCUUAACCUGGAUUUGUCAUUCAAAACUGCAUGACUAGAGUACGGUAGAGGGUAGUGGAAUUUCCGGUGUAGCGGUGAAAUGCGUAGAUAUCGGAAGGAACAUCAGUGGCGAAGGCGACUACCUGGACUGAUACUGACACUGAAUCGCGAAAGCGUGGGGAGCAAACAGGAUUAGAUACCCUGGUAGUCCACGCUGUAAACGAUGACAACUAACCGUUGGGACUAUUUAAAGUCUUAGUGGUGUAGCUAACGCGCUAAGUUGUCCGCCUGGGGAGUACGGCCGCAAGGUUA
rnacentral:rRNA from 1 species